rnacentral:rRNA from 1 species
UACGACUACAUAUCAGGCAUAUCAAUAAGCGGAGGAAAAGAAACUAACAAGGAUCCCCUUAGUAACGGCGAGUGAAGCGGGAAGAGCUCAAAUUUGAAAUCUUCAAGGUUCUACCUUGACGAAUUGUAGUUUAAAGAAGUGUUUUCUGUUGGAGUUUUGGUAAAAGUUCUUUGGAAUAGGACAUCAUAGAGGGUGAGAAUCCCGUAUUUGACCAUUACUUCCAGCGUUGUGAUACACUUUCAAAGAGUCGGAUUGUUUGGGAAUGCAGUCCAAAAUGGGUGGUAAAUUUCAUCUAAAGCUAAAUAUUGGCGAGAGACCGAUAGCGAACAAGUACCGUGAGGGAAAGAUGAAAAGAACUUUGAAAAGAGAGUUAAACAGUACGUGAAAUUGUCAAAAGGGAAGCGUUUGACACCAGUGUUGUUUUCUCGAAAAUCAAUUAAAAAGUAUGGGAUUUUGUAUUGUUAAGACCUUAUCAGCUUACGGUACUUUUUUCUUAUUCUUUUUAAUGCACUUUUCGUUUAACAAGUCAACAUCAAUUUCUUUUGUUGUAAAAGAGUCAUUGGAAGGUGGCUUUUUCUUCGGAAAAAAGUGUUUAUAGCCUUUGGCUUCUGCAAUCGGAGAGACUGAGGUCUGCAGCGUAGAUCCUUCUUGGAUUAGAUUCAUUUGUGCUAAGUUAUAGCUUUUUAUAGACAACUUGUUGACUAUAUUUAGUCUUGUAGCUUACUCGCUUAUGCUAAUUUUACCUACGCUUAGGAUGUUGAAUCUGUGCGAGACUAC